GGGCCCGCACAAGCAGUGGAGUAUGUGGAUUAAUUCGAAGCAACGCGAAGAACCUUACCAAGUCUUGACAUUGAGUGAAAGCUCUAGAGAUAGAGCCCUCCCUUCGGGGACACGAAAACAGGUGGUGCAUGGUUGUCGUCAGCUCGUGUCGUGAGAUGUUGGGUUAAGUCCCGCAACGAGCGCAACCCUUAUCAUUAGUUGCUACAUUCAGUUGAGCACUCUAAUGAGACUGCCGUUGACAAAACGGAGGAAGGUGGGGAGUGACGUCAAAUACAUCAUGCCCUUUAUGACUUGGGCCUCACACGUACUACAAUGGCACUUAACAAUGGGCAGCGAAACCGCGAGGUGGAGCAAAUCCCAAAACGUAGUCUCAGUUCGGAUUGUAGGCUGCAACUCGCCUACAUGAAGUUGGAAUUGCUAGUAAUCGCGAAUCAGCAUGUCG
rnacentral:rRNA from 1 species